rfam:Sorghum bicolor cultivar BTx623 chromosome 10, whole genome shotgun sequence.
GUAGUCAGAUUCCCAUUAAUGCACAUGUGUUGGGGUAGAUUGGAGUGGAACUUGAACUAAAUUCUACCUCAAUCCACUUCAACACAUAUGGAUUGAGGUGAAUCCGACA